rnacentral:rRNA from 1 species
GAUGAACGCUAGCGGCAGGCUUAAUACAUGCAAGUCGAGGGGCAGCACGAAUAGCAAUAUUUGGUGGCGACCGGCGCACGGGUGCGUAACACGUAUACAACCUACCUAUAACAGGGGGAUAGCCUUUCGAAAGAGAGAUUAAUACCCCGUAAUAAAUUGAGUGGCAUCACUUGAUUUUGAAAGCUCCGGCGGUUAUAGAUGGGUAUGCGUCUGAUUAGCUUGUUGGUGAGGUAAUGGCUCACCAAGGCGACGACGGGUAGCCGGCCUGAGAGGGUGAACGGUCACACUGGGACUGAGACACGGCCCAGACUCCUACGGGAGGCAGCAGUGAGGAAUAUUGGGCAAUGGGCGCUAGCCUGACCCAGCCAUGCCGCGUGCAGGAAGACGGUCCUAUGGAUUGUAAACUGCUUUUGUACGGGAAGAAACCCUAUUACGUGUAAUAGAUUGACGGUACCGUACGAAUAAGGAUCGGCUAACUCCGUG